rnacentral:rRNA from 1 species
UACAGAGGUCUCAAGCGUUGUUCGGAUUCAUUGGGCGUAAAGGGUGCGUAGGCGGCGCGGUAAGUCGGGUGUGAAAUCUCGGAGCUUAACUCCGAAACUGCAUUCGAUACUGCCGUGCUUGAGGACUGGAGAGGAGACUGGAAUUUACGGUGUAGAGGUGAAAUUCGUAGAUAUUCGCAAGAACACCAGUGGCGAAGGCGGCUCACUGGCCCGGUACUGACGCUGAGGCACGAAAGCGUGGGGAGCAAACAGG